GUCUACGGCCAUGCUACCCUGAACAUGCCCGAUCUCAUAUGAUCUCGGACUCUAAACAGGGUCAGGCCUGGUUAGUACUUGGAUGGGAGAUCGCCUAGGAAGACCAGGUGCUGUAGGUG
rnacentral:rRNA from 1 species